GCUUUUCCAUGGGGUCUUGGGGUGGUGUAUCCCACUUCCUGGCACCCCUACAGCAUCCGCCCCUUCCGAGCAUGUCUUCCCCGUCACAGAGAACUUCAUGUUGGCGCCUCCAAAAGUUGCCGGAGGAAUUAGGGAAUAGGGUGGUGGUGGAUGAGAUUGAGGCCAGAGAGGGGGCUGGCGGUCUGCCCUGAGGACCCCCCUCCCACCCACCGCAAUAGCUGCAUGGCCCCGGGACUUCCCUGUCGUACCUGAGAGGAGGGCCUGGCCCGUGAACUGCCUCCCCAGGAGAGGUCCUCAUCGUCCCCUUCUUCCUUUACGUUCUCAACUCCACUCAGCACGUUUCGUUCGUGCUCAUUGUCCUCCCGCAUCCCUGGAAUUCAAGGCCAGCAAACCCAGGCACAAAGGUUUAAAAAACUUGUCCCACUUCCAGAUGGGCCAAAGAUAGGAUUCAGACUCGAGGGAUCAGAAUGUGUCUGCUCUCAACCACUGCCCUAAACUGGGUGACAUAAGGACCACUUCUUACAUUUGCAAAGAGCUUAUAUCAGAGCUUUGCCUCUGUUGUCCUAGUAGAGUCCCCCAGCAGCCCAGUGACAUGGGUGAGUAAUAUUAUGUCUGUGUUUUAUAUGUGGAGCCUGGAACUCAGGUAAACGGCCCAAUUUUGUAUAAUGAAACAGACUAAACCCGUGAUUUUGGCUGUGGACCCAGGUGCUUUACCCACCACGUGGAUUUCUUCUUUUCUCUCUCCACAUCCAAACCAAUAGAAGUGUGCAAGUUCAGCUUGAAAAUGGUAUUGAGAGUUGUUUUUGUUGGAAACACUCUUUGUCAAGUACCUGGGGGUCUUCAUCAGUAAGACCUCAUUUUAGAUGCCUCCUGGCCUCCCCUUCCCAGGAGCACAGCUAUGACCUUAGGUACUCCUUCCGAAAAGAACUUGUUUAACUAAAGGCAAGUGUACUUCAUCCUCACCAUGGCCUCCUUCCACCGGGGAAGCAGAUAGU
rnacentral:lncRNA from 1 species